rnacentral:rRNA from 1 species
GGGCCCGCACAAGCGGUGGAGCAUGUGGUUCAAUUCGAAGCAACGCGCAGAACCUUACCAGUCCUUGACAUGCCACGGCGGUUUCCAGAAAUGGAUUCCUCCCCGCAAGGGGCGUGGACACAGGUGCUGCAUGGCUGUCGUCAGCUCGUGUCGUGAGAUGUUGGGUUAAGUCCCGCAACGAGCGCAACCCUCGCCCUUAGUUGCCAUCAUUCAGUUGGGCACUCUAAGGGGACUGCCGGUGAUAAGCCGCGAGGAAGGUGGGGAUGACGUCAAGUCCUCAUGGCCCUUACGGGCUGGGCUACACACGUGCUACAAUGGCGGUGACAGUGGGAUGCAAUGGAGCAAUCCUGCGCAAAUCUCAAAAAGCCGUCUCAGUUCGGAUUGUGCUCUGCAACUCGAGCACAUGAAGUUGGAAUCGCUAGUAAUCGCAGAUCAGCACGCUGCGGUGAAUACGUUCCCGGGCCUU